GGAAAAUCAGGGAAUUCGAUGCACCUGUGCCUAGUUAGGGACAGCGGUUGGUGAUUGGAGGAUACGCUGGACAAGGCAGUACUUAAGGCCAAGUUAUUUCACAGUCUGGGCGCUCUUUCUGGCUGGAAUUGUAUGAUUGUGAAGACAUCGCGAACCUUAAAGGUUGAGAAGUGAACGGAUUAUACGGCGAACUGAGACGACGUGAAAAAGGGGAUUGGAAGCGGCAUUGAUGUGAGUACUAAGAGCCAGUCGAAAGUGCCCUGUAUAUUGACUUGGCGUUGUGUAGAUCUCUCCAGGAGGAGGAGGGCGGCCCUACCCCUAAUAUAGUGUGGUGGGAGAGCCGAAGGAAUACUUAUUGAAGUAGUCACAACGACGACAUCACUAGCUAGGCCGCAUAUUCCAUCGCCAGAUCCGAACCAAGCGAAGUGAAGGAAGACGGGUGUCCUUUUCGUACACUGAGUGUGGUGGAUAAACCCCCGCCUUCACGCACUUCGUCGCGGGAGGACAAGGAGACUGCUGGUCCUAGCCUAGUUUCAGUACAGUAUAUGUUGUGAGCGUGCUUCAGAUCUCCGGAGA
ensembl:lncRNA